GGUCUAACUUGCAAAACGAGAUUAUGUAAUUAUGGCAGAAAUACCUUACAUUGACAUAGUGUUUUAUAAUGCACUCAUAUCUCAUUUGAUCUUCACAGCAACCUUUGAGUGAGAUUCUUUCUUACAGGGUGGGAGAAGGAAUGUUCUCUGGAGAAAUCUGUAUGAUAGAAUAGUGAAGGUAACUGGCCUGAACUACAGCUCUUGAGCCAUCUGGUUUCACCUUCAGGGAGGUCCCACUGAAGCUGAAUGACUGUGCAGGUUGAUACACUGGACAUUUUCGGUGAAACCUGUGUGAACAGACAACUGGAGGGUCAGAUGAUUUAUCCUCUCCCCAGUACCUUGGCACAAGCCUAGGCUACAGAAUGAGAUGCACGUAAGAAGUCUGUGACCUGGACCAGAGCAGCCCAGCUGAACACAUGCUGGAUUGGAAGAACCACCUUUGACCUGAAGACCUGUGAGUGAGAAUAAAUGCUGUUUGAGAAAGGAGUUUGGAGACAGAAAGACGGAAGAGUUGAUAUUCCGCUCACAGAUGUCAAUUUUCAAAGAAAUUUCUGCCCAUUAUGGAUGCACCACAAAUACUAAAGUCUAUGCAAUAUAUAUUUUGAAAAGAAUUUUUUUCGUGAAACUGUAAUUUUCGUUCAUAAGAGUAUAUUUCCUGACUUAGCAUUUUAUUGACUAGAUUAAAAUUUUGUUCCCCAAAGUAAGUGUGUGUGUGUGUGUGUGUGUGUGUGUGCACGCACACGUGUGUGUGCAUUCCUGAGGAUUAUUCUAAGGCUGAACUCCUUCAUAGAAAUGGAAUUUUUCUCUCUAUGCUCACAUUUUAAAACAGCUCACACAAGCCAGGCAGAAACUGCCAACCCCUUGGUUUCUAAUUCUUUGUGCUAGUUCUAUUAGAAGGGGCAAGUGUAAUCUGACAAUGGGAAACAAUACACCCUUUCUCAUAUUCUUUAUCAACAUACAUAAACUGGAAGAAAGAAAAAGAAAGAGAGGGGUACAGAGGGAGGAAAGGAGGAAGAAAAAAGAUAGGAGGGGAAGUAGGAAGAGAGGAGAAGGGGACUGUAGUGGGGGAAAGAGAGGAGAGACAGAAUCUUUCCACUAAAGUUAGCAUCUGAGAGAGAGGCCCACGGAAUUGAUUUUUUUUUUUUUAUCCCUUUGGCAAACCAGCAUUUGGUCUUUGCUUUGGUUAUCCUGAGAUAGUGCUUUGUUUACCUGAGCUAGCUGGCCAUCUCAGCUGUGACAAUUUAAAAUUAGGCCACUAUUUAUAAUUCAAGCUAUGUGUAAACAAAACAAAACACAAUACAACCAAUGAAGGAGGUUUGUUUGUUUGUUUUUUUAAAAGGUAGGGGCAUUUUGUAAAUCAGACAGAGAUAGCUUUCUUGAAUAAAAUGACAUUUUUAGUUAUUUCUUUGUCUUGAACUUUCUCCUGAGACACCUUCUGGCUCACUAGUCACGAGGAACUGAAGAGGAACUGAAGGAAUUCUAAACAUCCCCAAAGCCUCUAGUGAUUCUCCAGAUGUGUCUUUUCAAGAGGCUGGCGACUUGUAGGGAGGGUGGAUAUACCUUAAUUAUUCAGUCACUUUUAACGUUUUACCUAAACUAUUUGUCAAAUAAGUAGUUUUUGCAUUGCUUUAACUGUAUACAGCCAUCAUUUGAUUAUACAUUCUAUCAAAGAUUGAUUGCCUGAUUUCAGGUUUAAUUUUAAGAUUUAAAUGACUGACUCCUUAGCUUGCUCAGUUGUAUUCUUUGUCUCUGAUUACUUACUCCAUAGAACACUGCUUACCUUUAAAUAAAAUGUAUUAAACUCCUUUGUUUUCAGAAUCUCUAAUAUUCAUGCCUAUUGGGGAUUCAUACCCUAAUAACUUGGGCUACUAGUCUGUCAUAAAAUAUAAACUCCAGCCAUAUUAAAUAUGGUAGACUUGCCCUAAAAGUCAGAUUUAUACCUUCAAUAUACCAUGGAAUUUGUAAUACAAAUAAAUUCCUUUUUUUAUAUUGGUUUUAAAAUAAGAAAUUGUAGUCUCUUGAGUUCUAGAGUUUCUGUAAGAACAACAGAAGGAAUGCUCAGCUAAUGUUUAGUACCCAUAUGCUUCAUUAAAGUGACCAGAUGUCCUGCAUUUGUCAAGGGAAAAGGGGAAUUGUUUUCUUCUCUCUCAAAUAUCUCCUUCAAAAAGUCUAUCAUGGAUACAUUUUGUGCCUUCACUGCCCUUUUUAAAUAAUUAUUAUUCAUGCCUUACUAUAAGAACAUUACAACUGGUAACAAACUGCUUUUAAACUUGGGGUUUCAGAUUUUCUAAAG
rnacentral:lncRNA from 10 species